rnacentral:rRNA from 1 species
UCAGGCCUAACACAUGCAAGUCGAACGAUGAAGAAAGAGCUUGCUCCGGUGGAUUAGUGGCGAACGGGUGAGUAACACGUGAGCAAUCUGCCCUUGACUCUGGGAUAACUGCGGGAAACUGUAGCUAAUACCGGAUACGAGGCUUGGAGGCAUCUCCAGGUCUGGAAAGAAUUUCGGUCAAGGAUGAGCUCGGGGCCUAUCAGCUAGUUGGUGAGGUAAUGGCUCACCAAGGCGACGACGGGUAGCCGGCCUGAGAGGGGGACCGGCCACACUGGGACUGAGACACGGCCCAGACUCCUACGGGAGG